GAUAGAGGAUGCGAACGUUGCUCGGAUUUACUGGGCGUAAAGCGCGUGUAGGCGGUCUCGUUAGUCGGGUGUGAAAGCCCCGGGCUCAACCCGGGAAGUGCACCCGAUACUGCGAGACUGGGGUACUGAAGAGGAGAGCGGAAUUCCCGGUGUAGAGGUGAAAUUCGUAGAUAUCGGGAGGAACACCAGUGGCGAAGGCGGCUCUCUGGGCAGAUACCGACGCAGAGACGCGAAAGCGUGGGGAGCAAACAGG
rnacentral:rRNA from 1 species